rnacentral:rRNA from 1 species
AUGGCUCCUACUAAGGCGCCAGGAUCAGAUGGGUACCCCGCCCACUUUUUUCACAGGCAUUGGGACGUGUGUGGAGAUGAGAUUACUUUGAUCAUUUUGAAAAUUUUGAGAGGGGAAGAAGCAGUGGAUGAGCUGAAUGAUACUAUCCUAGUACUUAUCCCCAAGGUAACGAACCCCACGCUUCUUACUCAAUUCCGUCCUAUAAGCCUUUGUAAUGUCAUAUACAAGAUUGCUUCCAAGGUUUUGGCGAAAAGAUUGAAGAAUAUUCUUCCGGAGAUCAUAUCUGAGGAGCAGUCGGCCUUUGUUGGGGGGAGGCUUAUUACUGACAAUAUUAUCUCGGCCUAUGAGUACCUUCACUUCAUGAAGGGAAAUAAGUCAAAGAAGAAUGGUUUUUGUGCCCUGAAACUGGACAUGAUGAAGGCGUAUGAUCGCCUGGAGUGA